rnacentral:rRNA from 1 species
AGUGAACGCUGGCGGUAGGCCUAACACAUGCAAGUCGAACGGCAGCACAGUAAGAGCUUGCUCUUACGGGUGGCGAGUGGCGGACGGGUGAGGAAUCCAUCGGAAUCUACUUUUUCGUGGGGGAUAACGUAGGGAAACUUACGCUAAUACCGCAUCCGACCUACGGGUGAAAGCAGGGGAUCUUCGUACCUUGCGCUAUUGAAUGAGCCGAUGUCGGAUUAGCUAGUUGGCGGGGUAAAGGCCCACCAAGGCGACGAUCCGUAGCUGGUCUGAGAGGAUGAUCAGCCACACUGGAACUGAGACACGGUCCAGACUCCUACGGGAGGCAGCAGUGGGGAAUAUUGGACAAUGGGCGCAAGCCUGAUCCAGCCAUACCGCGUGGGUGAAGAAGGCCUUCGGGUUGUAAAGCCCUUUUGUUGGGAAAGAAAAGCAGCAGGUUAAUACCCCGCUGUUCUGACGGUACCAAAAGAAUAAGCACCGGCUAACUUCGUG